CCUACGGGAGACUGCAGUAGGGAAUCUUCCACAAUGGGCGAAAGCCUGCUGGAGCAACGCCGCGUGGGUGAAGAAGGUCUUCGGAUCGUCACACCCUGUUGUUAGAGACUACAGUGCGUGAGAGUAACUGUUCACGUUUCGACGGUAUCUAACCAGAAAGCCACGGCUAACUACGUGCCAGCAGCCGCGUUAAUACGUAGGGGGCAAGCUUUUUCCGGAUUUAUUGGGCGUAAAGGGAACGCAGGCGGUCUUUUAAGUCUGAUGUGAAAGCCUUCGGCUUAACCGGAGUAGUGCAUUGGAAACGGGGAGACGUGAGUGCAGAAGAGGAGAGUGGAACUCCAUGUGUAGAGGUGAAAUGCGUAGAUAGAUGGAAGAACACCAGUGGCGAAAGCGGCUCUCUGGUCUGUAACUGACGCUGAGGUUCGAAAGCGUGGGUAGCAAACAGGAUUAGAUACCCUUGUAGUC
rnacentral:rRNA from 1 species